CCUACGGGCGGCAGCAGUGAGGAAUAUUGGUCAAUGGACGAGAGUCUGAACCAGCCAAGUAGCGUGAAGGAUGACUGCCCUAUGGGUUGUAAACUUCUUUUAUAAAGGAAUAAAACGAGGCAAGUGUGCCUUUUUGUAUGUACUAUAUGAAUAAGGAUCGGCUAACUCCGUGCCAGCAGCCGCGGUAAUACGGAGGAUCCGAGCGUUAUCCGGAUUUAUUGGGUUUAAAGGGAGCUUAGGCGGUUUGUUAAGUCAGUUGUGAAAGUUUGCGGCUCAACCGUAAAAUUGCAAUUGAUACUGGCAGUCUUGAGUACAGUUGAGGUAGGCGGAAUUCGUGGUGUAGCGGUGAAAUGCUUAGAUAUCACGAAGAACCCCGAUUGCGAAGGCAGCUUACUAGACUGUGACUGACACUGAUGCUCGAAAGUGUGGGUAUCAAACAGGAUUAGAUACCCGAGUAGUC
rnacentral:rRNA from 1 species